rnacentral:tRNA from 1 species
GGUGGCGUAGUUCAAAUGGUAGAAUAUCGUAAACGCAUAUAGCUUAUGUGCUAACAGCAAUUUUAUUUGCAUUCCCAGCCGAAGAAGUAGGUUCGAUUCCUACCGUCAUCA